rnacentral:rRNA from 1 species
AUUGAACGCUGGCGGCAUGCCUUACACAUGCAAGUCGAACGGCAGCACGGGAGCAAUCCUGGUGGCGAGUGGCGAACGGGUGAGUAAUGUAUCGGAACGUGCCUUGUCGUGGGGGAUAACGUAGCGAAAGCUACGCUAAUACCGCAUACCAUCUAAGGAUGAAAGCGGGGGAUCGCAAGACCUCGCGCGACAAGAGUGGCCGAUAUCAGAUUAGGUUGUUGGUGGGGUAAAGGCCUACCAAGCCGACGAUCUGUAGCUGGUCUGAGAGGACGACCAGCCACACUGGGACUGAGACACGGCCCAGACUCCUACGGGAGGCAGCAGUGGGGAAUUUUGGACAAUGGGCGAAAGCCUGAUCCAGCAAUGGCCGCGUGCAGGAUGAA